GGUGAAAAGCACCCCGGAAGGGGAGUGAAAUAGAACCUGAAACCGUGUGCUUACAAGUAGUCAGAGCCCGUUAAUGGGUGAUGGCGUGCCUUUUGUAGAAUGAACCGGCGAGUUACGAUUUGAUGCAAGGUUAAGCAGUAAAUGUGGAGCCGUAGCGAAAGCGAGUCUGAAUAGGGCGUUUAGUAUUUGGUCGUAGACCCGAAACCAGGUGAUCUACCCUUGGUCAGGUUGAAGUUCAGGUAACACUGAAUGGAGGACCGAACCGACUUACGUUGAAAAGUGAGCGGAUGAACUGAGGGUAGCGGAGAAAUUCCAAUCGAACCUGGAGAUAGCUGGUUCUCUCCGAAAUAGCUUUAGGGCUAGCCUCAAGUGAUGAUUAUUGGAGGUAGAGCACUGUUUGGACGAGGGGCCCCUCUCGGGUUACCGAAUUCAGACAAACUCCGAAUGCCAAUUAAUUUAACUUGGGAGUCAGAACAUGGGUGAUAAGGUCCGUGUUCGAAAGGGAAACAGCCCAGACCACCAGCUAAGGUCCCAAAAUAUAUGUUAAGUGGAAAAGGAUGUGGCGUUGCCCAGACAACUAGGAUGUUGGCUUAGAAGCAGCCAUCAUUUAAAGAGUGCGUAAUAGCUCACUAGUCGAGUGACACUGCGCCGAAAAUGUACCGGGGCUAAACAUAUUACC
rnacentral:rRNA from 1 species